UAUCUGUGAGCCUUUAUUUAGAAGUAUCACGUGUGAGUAUUUUUAAUAGUGUGUUUAAUUAACUCUCGAUUUUGAAACGAAAUAGAAAAAAGUUAUUUGUGGGUUUUUAUUGUGAAAUUUCAAAUAAUACAAUGCCCAGACGUAAGAGAGGAGGAGAUUUGGCCAGUUCUGCAGCGAAACGGCGGAAACAAAAAGAAUCUCGAAGAAAUGAAACGGAAUAAGAGCACGAAGCACGUUUACAGAAUCAACGGACCAGAAUGAGUAACCUGAGAAGCAGAAGAAGCGAAGAAAGAACAGCAUUUAAAAGUACUGAAGAGUCGAGAAUUUUAUAAGAUAAUCUAACAAAGGAAGCAUUCCACUACGAACCGACGAAAAAAUAUUACAAUCAUAAAUACGUUGUUAUUGGAAAAAUGAAUAACGUACGUUUGCCAGUUUGCCAUGUAUAUAUACUCCGGACAAUAAAAUGAAAAAUGUUGUUUAUAAACAAGUAUUGUAAAUAAUGAGA